rnacentral:tRNA from 1 species
GCCUCUAUAGCUUCAACUGGAUAGAGCGCCCGUUUCGUAAUCGGGAGGUUGGGGGUUCGAAUCCCUCUAGGGGCCC